rnacentral:lncRNA from 1 species
AAGUACUCUUCACCAUCUCAUGUUCUUUCUUACCUGGUUAAUGAAAUAACAAGUGGCAAGCCAACGAGUGCUUUGAAUGUACUCGCAAGCAACCCAAGAUGUGGAACAAGGUAGUAAUGCAACAUGAUAUAUCUCAAGUAUGCAACCUUUGCGGAAAGCAAGUUUUUCCCUGAACGUAGUAACAUGAUCAAAUGCUUGUACGGAUGUGCAUCAUAAGGUACGCGGUAACCUUGUGAACAGGUUACAUA